UUAACCUUCAUACUCACAUACGAUCCCUUUUGAUUUUGGUGGAUGAACCUUUGAACCUUCUUUCCUUCUCCACCCGUAAUGCCAAAACCACUUAAAUCUAGCAAUCAACUCCUGUUCAUCUCCUAGAGAACAAAUCGACAUUGAUAGCCUGUGAUUUGGUGGCCAAACAUAGGAGAUUAAAGAGAUCUUUCAUGAUGUUAAAGUAUAAUGCAGAAAUUAGUAAGUCUAUUUUGUUUUAUAGGAUUAUUAUUUUACUUGGUUAAUUGUUAAUUGCUAUGUGUCUCAGUCUUAAGGAAUAAAAUUUGGUAGUUGAGAUUUUUAUCAAAUAGUGGUGUUAGUGGCUAGUUAUGCAAUAGUUUCUUUGUAUUGUACUAUUUAAAGAUCAAUUCAAUGUUCAAUAAUGGGUGUUUUCCCAAUUAUCUUUUGUGCUUCCUAUCUGUUUGUUAAAAGGC
rnacentral:lncRNA from 1 species